rnacentral:rRNA from 1 species
GACAGAGGUGCCAAGCGUUAGGCGGAAUCACUGGGCUUAAAGCGUGUGUAGGCGGAACGUUAAGUGCCUUGUGAAAUCCCACGGCUCAACCGUGGAACUGCUGGGCAUACUGGCGUUCUUGAGCCAGCCAGGGGUCGUCGGAACAAACGGUGGAGCGGUGAAAUGCGUAGAUAUCGUUUGAACGCCAAAGGCGAAAGCAGACGACUGGGGCUGAGCUGACGCUGAGACACGAAAGCCAGGGGAGCAAACGGG